GGCCCUAUAGUCUAGUGGUCUAGAUGCUCAACCCUCACAGCCGAGGUCUUUGGUUCGAAUCCUACUAGAAGUCA